rnacentral:rRNA from 1 species
GAUGAACGCUGACAGAAUGCUUAACACAUGCAAGUCCACUUGGAUUUGGGUUUUUAACUUAGGUUUGGGUGGCGGACGGGUGAGUAACGCGUAAAGAACUUGCCUCACAGCUAGGGACAACAUUUGGAAACGAAUGCUAAUACCUAAUAUUAUGAUAAUAGGGCAUCCUAUAAUUAUGAAAGCUAUAAGCGCUGUGAGAGAGCUUUGCGUCCCAUUAGCUAGUUGGAGAGGUAACGGCUCACCAAGGCGAUGAUGGGUAGCCGGCCUGAGAGGGUGAUCGGCCACAAGGGGACUGAGACACGGCCCUUACUCCUACGGGAGGCAGCAGUGGGGAAUAUUGGACAAUGGACCGAGAGUCUGAUCCAGCAAUUCUGUGUGCACGAUGAAGUUUUUCGGAAUGUAAAGUGCUUUCAGUUGGGAAGAAACAAAUGACGGUACCAACAGAAGAAGUGACGGCUAAAUACGUG